rnacentral:rRNA from 1 species
UACGGGGGGGGCAAGCGUUGUUCGGAAUUACUGGGCGUAAAGGGCGCGUAGGCGGCCUGCUAAGUCACACGUGAAAUCCCUCGGCUCAACCGGGGAACUGCGUGUGAUACUGGCGGGCUUGGAAUUCGGGAGAGGGAUGUGGAAUUCCAGGUGUAGCGGUGAAAUGCGUAGAUAUCUGGAGGAACACCGGUGGCGAAGGCGGCAUCCUGGACCGAGAUUGACGCUGAGGCG